rnacentral:rRNA from 1 species
UCUUAACUCUUUCUUCGUGCCUAAUACAUGCAAGUCGAGCGAACAGACGAGGAGCUUGCUCCUUUGACGUUAGCGGCGGACGGGUGAGUAACACGUAGGUAACCUACCUAUAAGACUGGGAUAACUUCGGGAAACCGGAGCUAAUACCGGAUAAUAUUUCGAACCGCAUGGUUCGAUAGUGAAAGAUGGCUUUGCUAUCACUUAUAGAUGGACCUGCGCCGUAUUAGCUAGUUGGUAAGGUAACGGCUUACCAAGGCAACGAUACGUAGCCGACCUGAGAGGGUGAUCGGCCACACUGGAACUGAGACACGGUCCAGACUCCUACGGGAGGCAGCAGUAGGGAAUCUUCCGCAAUGGGCGAAAGCCUGACGGAGCAACGCCGCGUGAGUGAUGAAGGUCUUCGGAUCGUAAAACUCUGUUAUUAGGGAAGAACAAACGUGUAAGUAACUGUGCACGUCUUGACGGUACCUAAUCAGAAAGCCACGGCUAACUACGUG